rnacentral:lncRNA from 1 species
AGAUUUUGAAAAUGAAGCCUGGUUAAAGCCCAAGGUUUGAUCGUGCUACGCGUGCUAAAGAUAAGGAAACUGUGCAAAGUUAUGUGCGUGAAAAACCUUCAGGAUGGAGAGAAUCAGCUGCCUACCUUGAACUACCUUGAAUAAGGCUGCCUUUGCUCUAAGAAAACCUGAAAAGUCUUCAACUAAAAGCUGAAAAGUCUUCAACUAUUACGUGAGGAUCUGCAGUUGGGGUCUAUGCUGUAGUGACUCAAGAUCACUGAUAGAACUUAAAGUCUAAUUUUUUUUUCAGUUAGGUGCAUCCCGAUACAGAAAUAGUGAAGAGUAUUUUAGCUAGGACCCAAAAUUGCCAAGGUUCUUGGAACUUCACAAAGGUCAAAGCUUGAACUGUGUCUGAAGAGGGUAUCAGAAUGUAUCUUUAUUCAGUACCAUAGACUAAGAAAGAAAAACAACUUUAUUUGUACGUUAUAUGAGGAAUCCUCCUCAUGAUCUCACAUUUGUUAUCUUAGUUCCGUUUCCUCAACAAUGCUGUGACCCAGUGUGGAUUCCCAUGGAUCUUAUUGAAAAUGCUUAUUAAAACUGCUACUUGACAGAAACUUUAUAAUUUUAGACUAAUUUCUCUCCAUCCCCUCUGAAUAAAAAUUCACAUGGUCAUUGAAUUUUUAUGUGACAAUAAUGCAUAUAUAUAUAUACGUAUAAAUAUAUAUAAUACUCAAAUUCUUUGAUGCUUUGUGUGGCUUGGAAUAAAUGUUAAUAUUACAGA